GAUGAACGCUGGCGGCGUGCCUAAUACAUGCAAGUCGAGCGAACGGACGAGAAGCUUGCUUCUCUGAUGUUAGCGGCGGACGGGUGAGUAACACGUGGAUAACCUACCUAUAAGACUGGGAUAACUUCGGGAAACCGGAGCUAAUACCGGAUAAUAUGUUGAACCGCAUGGUUCAAAAGUGAAAGACGGUCUUGCUGUCACUUAUAGAUGGAUCCGCGCUGCAUUAGCUAGUUGGUAAGGUAACGGCUUACCAAGGCAACGAUGCAUAGCCGACCUGAGAGGGUGAUCGGCCACACUGGAACUGAGACACGGUCCAGACUCCUACGGGAGGCAGCAGUAGGGAAUCUUCCGCAAUGGGCGAAAGCCUGACGGAGCAACGCCGCGUGAGUGAUGAAGGUCUUCGGAUCGUAAAACUCUGUUAUUAGGGAAGAACAUAUGUGUAAGUAACUGUGCACAUCUUGACGGUACCUACUCAGAAAGCCCCGGCUAACUACGUG
rnacentral:rRNA from 1 species